GGGGGGUGCAAGCGUUGUUCGGAUUUAUUGGGCGUAAAGCGCGUGUAGGCGGUUUUUUAAGUCUGAUGUGAAAGCCCUGGGCUCAACCCGGGAAGUGCAUUGGAUACUGGAAGACUUGAAUACGGGAGAGGGCAGUGGAAUUCCUAGUGUAGGAGGUGAAAUCCGUAGAUAUUAGGAGGAACACCGGUGGCGAAGGCGGCUGCCUGGACCGAUAUUGACGCUGAGACGCGAAAGCGUGGGUAGCAAACAGGAUUAGAUACCCUGGUAGUCCACGCCGUAAACGAUGAGAACUAGGUGUUGCGGGUAUUGACCCCUGCAGUGCCGUAGCUAACGCAUUAAGUUCUCCGCCUGGGAAGUACGGUCGCAAGACUA
rnacentral:rRNA from 1 species